rnacentral:rRNA from 1 species
UGACCGACCUUCGGGAGCUUGCACAGGUGCUGCAUGGCUGUCGUCAGCUCGUGUCGUGAGAUGUUCGGUUAAGUCCGCUAACGAGCGCAACCCUCGCUGUGUGUUAUAUGUGUCACACGGGACUGCCGGUCUUAAGCCGGAGGAAGGUGGGGAUGAUGUCAAGUCAGCAUGGCCUUUAUAUCCUGGGCUGCACACACGCUACAAUGGCCAACACAAUAGGUUGCUAAGCCGCGAGGUGGCGCCAAUCCAUAAAGUUGGUCUCAGUUCAGAUUGUAGGCUGCAACCCGCCUGCAUGAAGAUGGAGUUGCUAGUAACCGCAGGUCAGCUAUACUGCGGUGAAUACGUUCCCGGGGCCGUU